rnacentral:rRNA from 1 species
GACGAACGCUGGCGGCGUGCUUAACACAUGCAAGUCGAACGGAAAGGCCCUGCUUUUGUGGGGUGCUCGAGUGGCGAACGGGUGAGUAACACGUGAGUAACCUGCCCUUGACUUUGGGAUAACUUCAGGAAACUGGGGCUAAUACCGGAUAGGAGCUCCUGCUGCAUGGUGGGGGUUGGAAAGUUUCGGCGGUUGGGGAUGGACUCGCGGCUUAUCAUCUUGUUGGUGGGGUAGUGGUUUACCAAGGCUUUGACGGGUAGCCGGCCUGAGAGGGUGACCGGCCACAUUGGGACUGAGAUACGGCCCAGACUCCUACGGGAGGCAGCAGUGGGGAAUAUUGCACAAUGGGCGGAAGCCUGAUGCAGCAACGCCGCGUGCGGGAUGACGGCCUUCGGGUUGUAAACCGCUUUCGCCUGUGACGAAGCGUGAGUGACGGUAAUGGGUAAAGAAGCACCGGCUAACUACGUG